rnacentral:rRNA from 1 species
GAUGAACGCUGGCGGCGUGCCUAAUACAUGCAAGUCGAGCGAACAGACGAGGAGCUUGCUCCUCUGACGUUAGCGGCGGACGGGUGAGUAACACGUGGAUAACCUACCUAUAAGACUGGGAUAACUUCGGGAAACCGGAGCUAAUACCGGAUAAUAUAUUGAACCGCAUGGUUCAAUAGUGAAAGACGGUUUUGCUGUCACUUAUAGAUGGAUCCGCGCCGCAUUAGCUAGUUGGUAAGGUAACGGCUUACCAAGGCAACGAUGCGUAGCCGACCUGAGAGGGUGAUUGGCCACACUGUAACUGAGACACAGUCCAGACUCCUACGGGAGGCAGCAGUAGGGAAUCUUCCGCAAUGGGCGAAAGCUUGACGGAGCAACGCCGCGUGAGUGAUGAAGGUCUUCUGAUCGUAAAACUCUGUUAUUAGGGAAGAACAAAUGUGUAAGUAACUAUGCACGUCUUGACGGUACCUAAUCAGAAAGCCACGGCUAACUACGUG